UAGUGUUGAAGGGAUGCACAUAGGAAAUUUGAAAUAUUUUUUGUCUGUUUGGUAGCAGAAACAUGGAAUUGAAUCUAGUUUGAGCAUUUUUUCAUUCGAGAGGGAAACUUAGAUCCUAACGAUAUGUAUUUUGGGAACGAGUUAACUUUCUCAUUUCUAUCCAAAUUCCAUUCCACAUUCCCGCUUGCAAACGGAUCAUUUCAGUAGAUUUACUAAUGACCAGAUCCAUAGGUCAUUUCUUUAACAUAUUCGUAGUUCGGUUCGAGAUGGAGGAAUGCCAAAUCCUAUGUAAACUUUUACAUAUUCGUAGUUUUACUAUUAUUUGAAGGGUUUAAUAUAGUGAAAUCUCAAUUUUUAGUCAUUUCCAACAUGUAUGUUAAAUAUUAGCUAAUUUGAAAAUUUUCAAUUCAUAUUAAAAUUGAUCAAUUUCCGCGUGUUAUACUAAGAAAAUUUCAAAAUUUUCAAAUGGCUAAUAUUUGACAUACAUAUUGGAAAUUGAUUAAAAAUCAAGUUUCAUUAUGAGAAUCCUCGUAAAUAAUGGUAAAAUAAAGUUAAAAAUCAAUUUUACUUGAUGUUAUGUUAGUCUUGUAUUAAUGGGUAAAUGUUGGUCAUAUAACAGAUCAGGAUGGUUAUAAGGUUGAUUAUAUUGAUGGUGCGGUCACUACAAAACUCAUAACCUAACUUUACUUAUUCUAAAAAAUUAACGAUUAUCAUCAUAAUUUUAAAAUACGCAAUCAACCUGAUUAAUCACUUUAUGCGGUCAAAAUUGCCCAAAUCUACAAAUCGGGAAACUGUACGUUUCAGGUAUUUAAAUGAAUAAAUAAAGUAUUAUUAAAUUCAAUGAACGUACACGAUGUAUACAAUACAAUGCACGUACGUCGCAAAAAUUCAACUAUUGAUCUGGGCAAGAGGAGAUUAAUUAGCCUUAGAGAAGAUUGCGAGACAUGUUGAUCGGGAAAUAAGAAACCACGAUCGGCGGAGGGGAAUUAUGCUUCGACUUGGUCGUCUUGGUUGCCGGCGGCGUGGAUUUCUGAUCAUCAACGACGAAACCGUCAGUCACCUUGGAAGAAGAGGUUGGUGAUGGGGAAGGAAUGAAGCAGCUAACAAACAUCCCCGACAUCAAACCCAUUAAUAUUAUUGCUAGUAAAGCUAUGUUUGGUUUGGCUUUGACAGCUUGGUUUGGUUUUUCCUGUGAUGUUUCUCUGGUAAAGCUAAGCUAGCAACACUAUAUAUAAGGGCCAUGCCAUGUCUGAAGCAGAAGCAAUAUGGUCACGUGCCACUUGGAGAGCAAGGAAACCUACGUGUGGGCAGACUUUUCAACGACUAUACAUGUGUCGUUUGGUGAUACGAGGAGGGACGUCAAAGUGGGUGACUGAGGUGGCGGCUGAUUGCGGAGGCGGGGUCCACGCGGUGACCUACGUGGAUGUUAAAUGGUAAAGUGUUUGAUGCUUUCGUAUGUCACGGGGGUUAAGAGGCUAUGACCAAGUCAACAUCCCGGCGGCUUAAUUACGACGGCAAACGUAUCUUGGAAGGAGACGUACGCUUGGGGGCCAAGGAAACAUGCAUGCAUGGGCCAGGGUUUCCUAGUCAUGAUUCCACGUGUUAUUUCAUGAUAUGAUGAUGGUAGUUAGGGACAAACAAUACCUCGUCAAACUAUUUUCUUCUCUAAAUUAUUCCGUAAUUUAUUUUAUUAAACAUAUCUCAUUCGGCCAUACAAAUAAGGUGAUGAGGAGAACAUGAACACAAAUUCAAUAGACGUUUAUUUUUUAUUAUAAAAAAAUUUAAUUUGAAUUUUUAGCUAUUUUCAUCAUGUAUGCAGAAAGUAAUUAAGUUAAUUUAAAAAAUUUAAAUAUUAAUAAAAUUUUAAAAAGUAUUUUUUAAACUUCAUUUGGCUAUUAUUUGAAAGAUUUUAUAUGGUGAAAAUUUAAUUUUUAAUCAUUCCCAACAUGCAUGUCAAAUUUUAGCUAAUUUAAAAGAUUUUAAUUUUCACAAAAUUGGUCAAUUUCGUGACUAAGAAAAAAUUGAUCAUUUCACAAAAAGGAAAGGAAUUUUACAUAAGAGUAUAUAACAGUAUAUCAAUAUAAAACUUCAAUUUCACUAUUUUUAUAUAGAGUUUGAUGGGUUUUUUUAGCGGAUUAAAUUUUUCGGUUAGUAGCAGGUAGAAGAAAAAAACAAACAUUACAUAUCUAAUAUUUGUCUACGUGAGGUAUAAUUAGAUUUUUAUUUAAUAUCUUUAUAUCGUCAAUACCACACUUCUACUAUUAGAGUAUUUUUUAUGAGUUUAUUUUCCAAACUAAACCUCUUGGUUCAUACAAAGUAGAAGAAAGAAAAAAAAUUCUAUAUACGACCCACCGUAGGUGUAAAUAAAUUUAAACUCAGUGCAUCAGUCACCAAUUACACGAAAUUCUAUCAUUAAAACAAUUCCAUUUAAACAUUUUGAUCACUAGCUCUUGAAUUGCGGUGAUCUGGAUUAGCCCUCCCAUUCCGCAAUUACAUUCAUAUCUAGCUUGUUAACCACCCGCUACAAAAGGGAAAGUCGGGAAUUUACAGGAAAAUAGGACAUUACAAUCGGAGCGUCCGGCCGCCUCUGUUUACUACUUGCUGCUGCCGCCGGAGGAUGGUUGGAGUUGCUGCUGCUUUGUUUCACCGGCGAUGAUGCCUUGCUAUUUGAGUGUUCCACAUCGUCGGCAACCGCUGCCGCCGAGAAACAACAGACUACGUGGAUGUGAAAAUGGUCAGUUGUCUGCUGCUUUCGUAUGUACGGGGUUAAAAGGCUAUGACCAAAUCAGCAUCCUGGCUGGCGUUUGGCAAAGGAGGUUCGGAGAUAAUCAUGAUAUAAUCAUCUUGUUUUAUUUUGAUAAUAAAAUUAAUUUUAUGAUCAUACCCAUACGAUUAAUGAUUAUAAUCACUCCAAAUAAUUAUAAUUGCUCCCGUUGUGAAAAACUACAAAAUAGAAACUAAAAGUUCAAAAUGAAAACCAAUAUGCAUCCAUUUUAAUUUAUUUAGAAAAAAGGGUGAUGAGAUAUAUUCAAUCGAAGAAUAUUAGUUGAGUUUUAUAGAAGGCGAGGAGAUUAAGAGAUAUCUGUCGAAGACGACAAAUGUGAUAUUUUCGAUGAAAAAAUGGGUAAAUUGAUUAGGUUUAGUUUUCUUGAUAUAUUUCAUGUACAUUUCAGUUAAAUAGUAAGGUUAUUGGGUCCAUAUAUUAAUGGGUAAAUAUUUGAUUAUAUAACGAGUUGGAGAUGGUUAUAAGUAUUAAGUUGGAUUUAAUAUAACUAAAAUAUACGUGGAAGAUUAACAUUACCUGCACAAGAAUAACAUACAUAAAUCGAGAAAUGGUCCAUUUAUUAGUUAGUGGCAGAGCACAUAUAUACAACACCAACUCGAACAAGAUUUCAAAUCUAAUAGCAGANNNNNNNNNNNNNNNNNNNNNNNNNNNNNNNNNNNNNNNNNNNNNNNNNNNNNNNNNNNNNNNNNNNNNNNNNNNNNNNNNNNNNNNNNNNNNNNNNNNNNNNNNNNNNNNNNNNNNNNNNNNNNNNNNNNNNNNNNNNNNNNNNNNNNNAAAUCAUUUAUCUACAUAAUUUGAAUCAUUUAAACGAAAAACGUAGUCUAAGCUUUUAUUUGACAAAUGAAAUGACCUUAAAGGGCCUUGGUCUUUUACACUUUACAAAAAUCCCAUUUGAACUUGUUAAGUGUUUACAUAAGGUAAUGAAUCAUCCACAUUAGGAAUUAAAUCUUAAAAGGAUCCUAUUCUUAGAUUUUUUAAUUUAAUUUACACAACAACCAUUUCAUAUAUGGCAAAAAAUCCCUUAUUUUCUUAUUUAAUCCCUCAUAUUAAUUUUUCUCUUCUUAUAAAUAUUAAGCAAACCAAAGACAUAGAGGAUCAUCAAACACUAAAGAAAUUCAACGGCUAGGAUUUGAAUUACCAAACAUCUUUUGAUCGCCAUUGUUAAGAAAACACAGAACACAACAAGUAAAAAUGGCCAAAUCUUUUGUCGUGUAUUUUCUUGUUGCAUUGAUGUUGUGUGCUACCUCAGACGAGACGACGAUGAUGGCCGAAGCAGCAGUCUGUCACGCGCAGUUGGAUUGCUCGCAGGGCGUCGCUCGUUGUCAGGCGGUGUGCGGCUGGAGGUACGCCGGUACGGGGAGGUGUCUGAAAAGCCCGACGACCGGGGCUCAAGUGUGUAUUUGUGAUUAUAAUUGCUGAGAGGGAUAAAAUAAAUAUCGUUUUUAAUCAACUUCUGAUGGAAAAAUAAAUAAAUAAUAAAGAUUUUUUUACAUAUUGGCGUCUUAGCCAUUAAUAAUAUUGACAAUAAAAAGUUCUUCUUAUUCAUUUUUGUUAAAAGUGUACAUUGAAAAUACAAACUCCACAAAUAAAAUUAUAUGGACCGCAAAUAUCUACAAAAACGUUAAUUUCGAUCCUUACUCACAGCAUACUGUCAACGACAAUGAACACAAUCAUUUGGAGGCAUUAGCUUCAUUUUUGGUAGAAGGGUGGACUUACAGACUGAUAUUAUUAGUUAGGAAUAAAAUAGAGGAACACGAUCCCAAUAGAAUUGGUCCAGAUACAAUUAUUUGCAAAAGAAGUAAUUGGGUGAAAUUCAAAAGGACAAGAAUGGCCCAAGUGACGAAGAAAUCAACAACUCGAUUGCAUUUUCUAAAUGUUUGUAUAAUCUGAACAUCCUGAUCUUGAUGGAGGCGAUGUUGCAGCUCACUGACGUUUGCCGAAUGUCUGGCAUCAAUAAGGAAUUUUUGUUAAUGUAAAAAAUCACGACUAUCGAAUCCGCUUGAAGGUUAACUUUUUUGUAUCGGUUAUUCCAAGCCAUCCGAAGAUCAUAAACAUCAACUUCAUUGCACACUCGAGCUGACACAAAAUAAUAAUAUCCCUCAAAUCGAGCCGACAAGACAUAAUAAUCUUAGUUUCUCAUUGAUAAAAAAAUAGUUAGGUUUCUCCCUUUCCAACAAUUUGAAUUAUUGAGGUACAACGAUUUUUGAUAUAGUAUCAGAGCAUUUAGACUAAACGAUUGUGUGUUCUAAUCUCCACGACCCCCAAUAUUAAAAAUUGAUUUAAGCAUAAGGUAUGGUUGACCUUUGCAAACUUCAACCCCAUAAGUUGGCUUUCGUUUAAGAGGACUUGAUUAGAAAAUAGUAUAAAAUCCAUCAUUAACCCUUUCCUAACAACUCGAGUUAUUAAGAUGCAACGGUUCUUGACACACAACAAGAAUUGAACAACACUUGUACACUUCCGAGAUAUCACAUAAACCCUCCUCCCGAACAUGAUGCUAAAUGGCUCUGAUUCUUCGAUAUCCUCUCUCUCAAAUUAUAUAAAACCUAUCCCAAACAAGAGUCGAUGAUAUUAGACAACCGAGUCAAGUAUAUAAAUGAAGAAAUAAAUUAUUAUUAAAUUCCUCAAACGACUACCGUAAUAAACGACUCGAAACUAAAUUCAAAGUACUACAAAACUCGUGAUUAUGUCUUAAGAAAAACAGAAACUUAUCAUCAUCUAUCUACUGCUCUGGCCAAAACAGAGGAUUACUUAAUAAGCUUAGAGGAGGUUGCGAGACAAGUUGAUCGGGAAAUGAAAAGACACCACGAUCGGCGUAGGAGAAUGCUUCGACUUGGUCGUCUUGUUGGUCGACGAUUUCUGAUCAUCCACGACCAAAUUAUCGCCGGUCACCUUGGAAGAAGAGGUUGAUGAAGAUGGAGAAGGGAGAAAGCAGCUGCCAAACAUGCCCGACAUCGAACCCAUUUUUCGAAACGUUUUUUUGUUUCGAAAUGCUAAGCUUUGCUUGAUGUUUUCUGUUGUGUCUGAGCUAAGAUAGCUAGCGACAGUAUUUAUAAGGCAAAUGUCUGAAGCUGCGGUCUGCGGGUCAGAAGAUUUUUCGUGGAAAGUUCUUACAACUGACGCAGUCUCUGCUGUGUAUCAGUUAAGCUAAGGACUAUGAAAGUCAACUGGAGGUCAAGAGUGGUUGCGUGGUGGAGUGGGAAGCUUGGGGACCAAGGAAUCCUACGUGGCCUGACUUUUCAACGGCAGUCGUCAACUUGUCGGGAGUGACUGUGGUGGCGGCUGACUGUGGAGGAGCGGUGGGGUCCACACUGACGCGUGGAUGUGGAAAUAGUGAAGUGUCUGUUUCUUUCCUAUGCUAUUGAUUUUAAAGAAAAGAUCGCGGGUCAUUGGAUUAGUCUAAUUUUAAGUUAACUUUUAUUUUAAAUUUUAAAUAAUUUUUUAUAUUUGGUCCGAACUAAAUCGGUUCCAAGCCUAGUGUUGGGUUAUGGAGCUGAUGGAUUGAACAUCUUAGAAAUUAAAUUAUAUAUUUUUAGAUGAAAAUAAUGGGUUGAUGUAGAGGGCAUGUGAUGAUAUCGAGUUUAUCUAUGUAUUUAUGGAGAUCAAGACAAUCAUGUUGUAUAUUAUUUCGUUAAUAUUGGACCCGAGAUGUCACUGAUUUAUAUAGAUAGUUUUCCUAUUUUUUUUAUCAUUUUGGUCAUGUCUUUUAUUUAUAAAGAUCAUUUGUUUGCAAGAGACUGUUAGGACAAACUUGGUGUUGGUCAUCGACAACCUUAAGCCAUCGGUCUAGUUGCACUUAGCAGGAGGUGUCAUCAUUACAAAAAUUCGCAAAAUAUUUAUACAAUUUUCGUCAUUUUGCACCACUCAACGAUCUUUCAACCAUCUAGCUCACAACAUCCCAACUUUGCACCUUGAUUUGUCUCACCAUGGAGGAUAAUUCUAAAUUCGUUCAUAAUUGUUAUUUCAUUCGUUAUCUCUUUUAUUUCUACUUUAUUUUUUUUAAUAAUUAGAUUUGUGUGUAAUUUCGAUUUCUCCUCCUAUGAAGCAACUUCUUUUCGUAGUGAAAUAAUGAGAUAGCUUUUAAUGGAUCAGAUUGGGCUGAUUACUGGAUCUAAAAGUCGGGGCCCGUUCAUUCUACGUGAGUGGUCACAGGGCCCAAAUUCUCCAGCCGGAUUCCGAUGCUCCGCCGCGGAAGUUUUGAUAUUCAUAUUCCCAUUGACGGCGAAUCCUGAGCUUUCUUUUUUGCAGAGAAUAAUAAUCUGUAAAUCGAACAACGCAAUUGCUGGUAACCGAUCGGGGAAGACGAAGUGAGGGGAAACUAUUUGGAUCGAUCGGGGGGAGCGGAGAUGACUGUCAAAAUUUUGGACGCGACGGUGGCGAGCUUCAACGAGGUGUUCGAGAAGUUCAAAGCAGAGUCGCCGAAAUUCAAAUCCAACCUCAUCCUCUUCCUCGCCGACAACGAUCCGUCCACCAGUCUCAGCUGGUGCCCAGGUCAGUCACUGAUGAUCGGAAUUAGCUCGAUUUGGUGAACAAAUCUGUUUAUAGGGUUUUGUUGGUUUAUUAUGUUGAUUUGUGCGGCCAGAUUGCGUGAGGGCGGAGCCGGUGAUACAGAAGAAGCUGGAAGCUUCCGGCGAUGACGUGGCGCUCCUCCGAGCUUACGUUGGGGACAGACCCACUUGGAGGAACCCACACCACCCUUUGAGGGUGGAUUCGAAGUUCAAGCUCACUGGUGUCCCGACUCUGAUCCGCUGGGAGAAUGAUGCUGUUAAAGGAAAGCUUGAGGAUCAUGAAGCUCACCUUGAACGCAAAAUCGAUGGGCUUCUAUCCACUACCGAGUAAAACAGAUAAGACAGACUGCACAUUUCUGUUUGCACAAAUAAUGGAGUCAGAAGAUACAUGGCUGCCUCCCUAGUGGAACAAUGUUGAUAUUUUGUUGAAGAUUGAUGAUGGUGAUGAUGAAUAUGUUAUGAAAUUGGAUUUCGGAAAUGCUCUGUUUCAGAGUCUGGAAAUCAUCUAAUGGCUGAGUAAAUUAGAGGCUAAUGUUCGUCGAUUGAUACAUGGUGAGAAAUCCUACGACUAUUUUGUUUAGACAUUUUAUCAAAUGAGCAUCUAAUUUAGAGAUUGAGGCGGUCAAAAUUGGACUCAAUUUCGGACGUUGGAUACGUUUUCCGCGGCCACAAAGUGACUGAGAACUGUUUUAUUGCUAUUUUGGGGCUUAAUUCUGCCUAAUUUCAGCGGUUGGAUUUCGUUGGAGAGGCAUGUGAAGUCAAGUCCCCUAUCGGGUACCGCAUGAUAAUGUUUAAUGUCGUUUUCCGCUCUUUCACCUCCAAGUCCGGCAAGCACCUCCAAAUCCAUCCGAAUUUUGGACCAAGGUCCGACCAAAUUGAGGAUAUUGUCGUAGCCGUAGAAAACGUAUCCGGCGGAAUUAGUCUGUGCAGCCAACCAAAUCCAACUCUUUGAAUAUUUCAUGAGUACUAAUGAGCCGUCAAUUUACAACUUUUUGUUGUUGUUAGAGUAGACCGAGACUCUCGAUCAAUACAAUAUAUAAAAUAAACACUACAUUAGUGUUCAUUUCGUUAGGUUAGGUGUGAUAGAUUCGAAAACGAUAAUAAUUCCUACAUAAUAGUUAUUUAUAAUAAAAAAAACAAUGUAGUACCCCUAGCAUCUAUUUUGUACAAAACGACACCGAUUAGCAAACUGCAGCCUGCAGCUUCCAAAAUUACUAGACUAACCAUUAUCUAACCAUAAAUUACGACUUCGCCACUAACCACACCCGCUUAAUCUAGUAUCUACACGACUACACCAAACCAAACCUCUUACUUAUGCUUAUACCCGACGGAGCUUCAAAAGAAUGUCACCGUACGGCUCGUCUUGCUGUACAUCAAAGUUCAAACGGAUGCUUUCCUGUGGAGCCUCUCUUUCCACUUCCACAACUCCAUGGCUCUUCAGAACCUGCAGUUUUGCAGAAAAAUUGCAGCUUCAGAGUUGGAUUCUAAUCCUAAGAGACAACCUGAACUUUUGAGAGCAGCUUUACAAAGUUAUAUUACCAGAGUUUCAUAGAACAUUCUGGCACAGAGCUUUCUUGGUUUCCCUAGUAAGAUCUGGUUGAGACUGAUUUCUUUAGAAGGGUCGUCCAUUCUCGGAGUGAUUGGAGUUCGUCUUUCCAGAUACUGAGCUACAGCCCUGAGGAACAGAAAGAAUCAAAGAUUAUGUCAUUUGAAGAUUCUGAUACAGAUGAGCUGGAUGAAAAGAAAAAGCUCCAGAUGAAAAGAUUCUUCUUUUAUGCUGUGUACCUUGUUCUACCAGACAACUGAUGACCUCCUUUACCGCUUUUCCUUGAGGAUCCUGUUACAAAAUAUCAAGGAUGUCAAUAAGAUAACCAUCAGUAACAUCUACAGAACUCUUAAGACUUAUGAAUCUGGAACAGCUAGCUCACCUGCUGGUGUGUUAUCUGCUUCAGGAGAAUAAUCCUGCAGAUUGGAACAGAAUCCAAGUGAGUCAAAUUUAUUAAAGUGGGUCAGUAGGAAAUAGUACAAAUUUGAGACCUUUUUUGUAAUGCUCAAAGCCAGAAACACCAACAAUACUUACUUCCAUUUCAGGGCUUUCCCUCAAUUCAAGUAUAUGAGAAAGCUGAGUGUCCUCCGCAAAAAAAGGAUCAUCAUCAUCAUUAUUCGUCCUCGGAGUCAUCAAUCCGGAAAUGUACGUCCCUAUCGAGGUGGUAAAGUCAUCUACUGUCUGCUGAUUUCCACUUCCAGAAGUCUGCCCUGUUGCAAGAGUCUCUUUGGUUGAUUGAAAGUUCCUGGGGCUAGGUGUCGAGUCAUCAUCAUCCCGUCUAUGAAUAGGCGAAUGCUGGAUAGGCGAAUCCGGAAUCUCAGGUCGAUCAUUAUCUUGAUGGUGGCUUCCAGCAUUCCGGAUAACUUCAGGUGAAUCAUUGUCCAUGUCCUCCCGGACCAAAGGAUUCCCAUCUGUUGGCUCCAAGACGGUCUCAACUACAGGAGCAGAAGGAGUUACUACAUUCACAGGAGUUACGACAUCAUCUCGAACAGGAGAUGUUCGGCCUUGAGUCUCCGUUGUACCUUCCUCCUCGUGAAGAAUCGCAUGGUGCUUUACGAAAUCAUGGCCCUCCUCAAAGAAGCUACUCAAAACAGAGGACAUCCCUGAUAAAGAAAAACAAACAAAGCACAAGCGUGUCAAGCAAGCAACUACAAGAUGCAUACAAAAAAUAGCUUAUAAUAGGUUAUAACUAGAUUAUAACCAGUUAUCAAUGGUUCGUGGAAAACUCGAUCCUUCUUCAAUCUCUUGUUCUGCCUCCAGAUAUCCAAAGAAGAAGGUGCAUUCCUCUUGGUGCGCAACAACCCAGUAGAACUUUCUAAGCGCCUCUUGAUAUAACUAAUAAAUCCAUCAUGAGCAACCACCAUUCAAUAAAAUAAAUAAAAGCACAAUUCGGUGGGGGCAUUUAUGAAAGUAUGAACAUUACUUGUUAGUCAAGACUGUGACUUCAUCAAAGUACUUUCUCUUUAUUCCCCUCGGCCGAAGUUGCUGAGCAGGUGGCUCUGGUUGCUGAACAGGUGGUGUUGAAGCUGCAACAUGAAGCCCAGGGGUUGACUCGCCAGGUGGUGAAUUUGGACUGGAAAACAGUGGAUCUCCUCCGGAAGGAGGAGAAUUCGGAGGUUCUGAAUGUGGCGGAAGUUGAAACGAGGAAGGCUCAUUUGGGAUAGGAUCAGUAGUAAUGUCCUUAUCGAGCAAAUUUUGCUCCGAAAGGAUGCUUGUGUCAUCAGUAGCAUCCUUUUCCCAGAUAGGAGACAGAUUAGGAAGUCUUACCGGACCGGAAUCAUGGGUAGCAUCACGCAAGAUUCCGAAAUCAGGAGAGGAGUCAUCGUUGUUGUCAGUAUCCUUGGAACCAAGAUUUAUGGUCACAUUGCUUUGUCCAGACUCAUUAAUCUCAGUAUGUACAUCGGUAUGAUCACUUGUGCCAGCUUCAGUCUGAUUAGUUGGACCAGUGUCUUGCAACGCUGUUUCAGUUUCAGUAUGCAAGACUUCUGUCUGAUUGCUUGGAACAAAGCUUUCAUGAUUUCCAUCAAAGUCAUCGAUAGAUGUGAAUGGUGGAAAGGUGCUGCAAAUAACACAGAAAAAGAGGCAUCAGGACUGGUGAUUCUUUGAUAAUUUGGUCAUGAGAUUGCCAGAAUUCAGUCAUUAUAACUAGUUAUAUUUGAAAAUAAUCAGUUCUAAUACUAAAUAACUAAUUAUAUUACUAUAGUAACUGGCUACAAGAUGAAAUAACUAGUUACUAGAAAAGCAUACUCAUGCAUUCCUGGUAUAGUUCCCAAAUCAUCAGCCUGCCGUGAAGGUGAACCAUCAUCUGACAAGUCCUGUACAAAAAAAGCAUCAAUCUUUCAUCAACCAAAAUCUACAGUACCAAACACAAAAAAAAAAGCAAAAGAAAAGACUAACAUCAUCAAAAGUGACGGCGACAAAUGGGUCUACACCAGUAGGAAUUUGAUCUGUAAGUGUUAUCUCUUCACGACUCUUGAGAUUUCUGUCAGGAGACCCAUCAGAGAAGGAGUCAUAGUUGAUCUCAACAUCGUCAAGGUUAAAAAUUUGCGGCAAGGUGACUGAAUCAAACGCAGCCGUUCGAUCAUUCUCAGCCAAAUUGAUAUCUGUGGCAACCAAUGCCUUCUUCAAGCCAAUCACUAGUACAUUACAGUCGUGCAAGAGAUAAUCGACUUUCUUCGAGUAUAUACGAGAAACUCCCAGCAGAAGGUGCCCUGACAUUCUUAGUGCAAUGGGAACUUCUGGAUUCAUUAUACACUCUGUGUGCAUUUCAAACAUCAACAACUCAUGAGUAACUAAAAAAAGCAUGCUCCUUCCUUCAACCAUAUAAUUGAAUGGAGAAAAAGAGAGAUACAAUACCAACAACUGAAUUGAUAUCGGUGGAAGUGUAAUGAGAUUUCUUGAGCCUGUGUUGCAAGUGAGCGGCGCACCAUACUGUCCCGAGUGGACCCUUCCGAGCUAGAAAUGUCUGUGAGUAAAACAUCUAGCCCUGCCUUCUUCUUCAAUAACUAAUAAAAUUUCAAGGGUUUGCAAUCCGCACUGAAUCAAUCAACUAUGGCUUGGCUUGCUAGGUGGAAAGUUAGAUUGAAUUUUGAGCAAUCCACACACAAUUUCGUCAUCAAUCAAUCAAGUGAAAAGUUUGGAUGAAAUUUUGAGCAUUUUCCGUCUAAGUCUAACGGGGAGGAUCAGCUCAAAAAGAAAGAACGAAACUUGAAACACGCCCAGUUGCUCAUUUACAUUCAAAACAAGUAAGGCAGGCAAAUGAGAGAAAAUGGGAGAGAGUGGUACCAGUUGAAAAGAGAAAGAAGCGCUCUGACUGGUAGCUGUAUCGGCGGCGGCGGCAAAAGGGGGCGGCGGAGCAAAAGACUCACACUUUCUUCUAUCUUCCGACCUCCGGCGACGGGCCUCAGUUCAAUAUUUUGGGUGUUUGGAUUUCCGAGUGAGUAUUUGAUUGCUUAACUUCUGUAUUUGGUUUAGGGUUUUGAAUGAGAGGGGGGACGGAAUCGUCGGGGGUAGUGGAGGGCGCGGGAAACUAAAUGGCGGCAAACCAAAAUUAAGGGGGGAAAUUGGAGUUUUUCCGCUCUUUUGUAUUUGUUUAAGGCCCCCAAUUGUUAGAGAAAUAGCUAAUUGGUCACUUAUCUAUCUUAGAUUCUACAAGAUAGUAGCUUACCUGUAUAAUAUUGCCGUUAUGGUUCUGAUUCAGGUUUAAUAGGAUGAUAAUCAUCAUUAAUAUCCUACCAAAAACUUCACCAUUAACAUUUAGAAAAUAAACACUAAUGAUUUAAUAAGAUUUGAUGAGUGAUUUGGAUUACGAAUGUUGAAAUUGGUUAAUUUUUUGCAUGCAUGUGGUGAGAAACUGUUAGAAAUUCAAGUUAAUUUUUUUAUAAUCGUAAAUACAUAUAUCUCCANNUGUGUGUAAAAAUUGUAAAAAUUUAAAUUAUAUUUUUUAUAAAUCGAAAAAAAUUAUAUCCCCCCAAACAACCAUAAAAAUCCUUUAAAAUAUUUUAGUUUCAUUUCGCUAUUAUUUGAAGGGAUUAACAUGGUAAAACCUUGAUUUUUAGUCAUUCUCAACAUGCAUAUCAAAUAUUAACCGAUUUAAAAUUUUUCAAUUUUCAUGUCAAAAAUGGUCGAUUUCCGUGUGUUAUACUAAGGAAAUUUGGUCAUUUUCACGAUAAAAUUUUAAAAUUUUCAAAUCGGUUAAUAUUUGACAUGCAUAUUGGAAAUUGCUAAAAAUUUAAGUUUUACUAUGAUAACUCUAUAAAUAAUGGUUAAAUGAAGUUAAAAAUCAAUUUUACUUGGUGUUAUGUUAGUGAUUUUCAUAUUCCUUACUUUCUGCAUACAUGUGAUGGAAAAUCGCUAGAUAUUCAAGUUAAAUAACAGGUUCGAAUUCGAAUUAACCAUAAAUCAGAACUUAGCAUAACAUGUGUACACUAGGCAAACGCAAGAAGCACACUAGAGCAAGCUAUCGGUUCUAGCAGACAAUCUCUUGAAGAAAUUGCUUGGCACACAAGGAAGCUUGGUACGGAACCUAGGGUGCCUCAAGUAGUACAAACCCGAACCCAUAGCAACCACCCUAAACGGCGUCACAUAAAGCACUAUAGCCGCACAAAGGCAAAACACUACGAACAAACUAGUUGCUCUGGGGUCCCUCCAGCUCAGCAGUGACUGAAACCUCUCCCCUUGCGUCGCGACAUCCCCCACCACGGACUGUAUCCUGCCGGCAAUGCUCCUGAGCCUGUCGUACCUCAUCCUGACAAGAUCGUGAGCCCUCGAAGUAGGGAACGUGUCGAACUCCUCGUCGAGCUCGUCGGGGCUCACCGCCUCCGCCCAUGAUAACUUCGUGUCCAUGUGAGGCGGGUGCCUAGGCCGGAACCUGUAGUUCCAGAUCCCAAUCAGGAACAUGUAGAGGAACGUUGUCGGGAGGAUCAGCUCCGGGUACCAGAUUAGUAUCAGGAAAAGGACGUGUACUAAUACUGAUGUCACGGGUUUCCUCCAUUGGCAAAUGUCGUCUAACCACUUACUCAUCGAGACUGCCCCCGAUACCAAUGACAUGAUCCGGAAGAAGUUGGCCUUGCUCCUCCUCAUGCUCCACAUGUGCGAAUCCACGUCUAGCAUGUACUCGACGACUUCUUUCCUGAGCGGCGGCUCUGCCCUGCCUAGCCUCACUGCUACGAUGUUCAUCGCUUGGUACCUGUUAAUCAAUAAUACAAAAACCAAUCAAAACCCUUCUCCCACACAACUCGACUACUCAAGAAACAAAUGGUUCUUGAAAUUACCUUAGGCUUUCGACUUGGUUGACCGUUAACGGAUGCAGGUAGUGCAUCUUCGGCAGAAUCGGUUGUCCGUACGCAAAUAUCAAGUUGGCUAGUGACAAUGUAGUGAACCGAAUCGCGAGAUGAAGCUCGCCCAUCUUCUUCACCCCGCUCGAAUGCAGCGCCAGGAGCGGGUAGGAAUUUGUAUAGGUCCGGUGCGCUUCUAACGUCGAAAGCCGAAUCCUGACCUUCCCGAUCCUCGAGUCUCGAACCGAUUUCUCGUUAACCAAAUGACAGUUGUCGAACACUCCUAGAGUGAUCACGGUGCACGGGUCAUACACUUCCCAAGUGUACUGCUCGUUCCAUUUAGGGUUAAAAGAGUCGAUUACGGUUCGGGUACGAACCCAUUUCUGUCCGUACUUCGCUACACAGUACGAAUCAGUACUCCCCCUGCCGUCUUUCAUCUUCAUCGGAAGAAUCCCCUGAGCUCCCAGAACUCCGACCUCCAAUAUUCCGACAGGCUGCUGCUUCCAAAGCUGCCUCGCCGUCGGUCUCUGAUCGCUGAUGUACAUAGUCGAUUCGUCCAUCACAUGGUAACCUCCUUCCAAACAAACUCUAAGGUGAAUCCUGCUCGCGAAUUUCAUAUCCUUCCUCCGAUCACCUUCCAAUCCUCCGAAUCCGAAUUUCUCCAGAUUGAACCACCGCGAAUGAACAGGGCGAUGAUCCAUCCGCUUCUCGAAUGCCGCCACCGGGAAAGUAAUCUUCCCGAGCACGUCGUCUUUCGACGGAUGAACUCUGUCCUCCACGGUGACGAUCACCUGCUCCUCGAAAGGCUCCGCCGCUACAAACAUCAAAUCCUCGUUCCAGAUCGGAUUAAUCGUCGGGAUAUGGUGAAUCCUCGUCUUCAGAACCUGAUUCCCGAUCUGAACUUUCACGAACACCUGCGGGAUUCGGUUUCCGUCGCCGAUCGGAAUCAGAUCCUGAGCUUCGAUCACGUUCACACGGACGUACCACAGCUUGGGAGAGACAUAGACUUUUGACCUAACUCCGACGGCGGCGCCUCCGCUGAUUCCGGCGGAAUCGGCGUUCCAAGCUUCCGGAAACGCUUCAUCAGCUUGCGUCCCCAUCCAAACGACCAGCAUGAUCUCGCCGUGGCCGCCGCUGCGGGCCCGGCAGGGGCGCUGGGGUGGCGGCGCGGGCGCUGUCGCUGAGCUGCGAGUGGACUGUCCGGCGGGACUCUGGUGGGGAUUUCGUUCAAAUCGAAGGUGACUCUGCCGAGGUAAUCGUCUCCCUUGAUCUCUCUGUCCUUUACGUAGACUUCAAGAACAGAGGAUUGGAUUCUGUCCUUGGAGAAGGCGAAUACCUGGUUCCAUUCAGGAUUUGAUUUCUUCUCGAAAUGCUUUGUUCUUCCCUUGUAGUUGCCGAGUUUGAUUUCGACGUACGGAUCGCAGGUGUUGGCGAUGGAGGAAGCUGGAGGGAGGUCUUUGGCUUUCACUACUCGGACAUAAAGGUACGAGAUUUGCUCCACCAGGUCGAAUUUCGUCGUAGCGGACGCCGAACUGAAUCCUGAUCUUCCAGAUUGCCACAACCUCUGCCCUCGAUGUACAUUGGUGUCCUUCAAGAUGUAGUUAUCAUCAUCAUCAUCUUCGUUGUUGCGGCCGCGGUAGUGCUGCCCUGAGGCUGCACUGUUAGCAGAAGUAGCAGCAGCAGCAAGAUGGUGCAUUUUCAGGUUAACUGUAUCUCAGGUUUUGGACCAAUUGGGUGUCUUAUUUAGGAUGGUGAAGUGAGCUGUGAGAUUACUGCUUUUGGAUAAGGACAUGAACAUUCUGAAGAAGAAACCGGAAAGCUGAAACAUGAAGCAAAGAACAUAUGCUUAGCUCAUAUGGUAUGAAGAAGGAAGGAAUGAUUUCUCCAGGAAGCUGCAGGCUGCUACAGAAAGCAACCAAGAGAAUCUAUCUACAACAGUUUUCAUUGAGAAUUCAGCAGAAAGGAAGCGAUCCAUGCAAUCAUUUGUUACAGAUGGCUUUCUGGGCUUUUAGUACUCUUUUUUUUCUUCUCAAGCUUUCAUCUUUUCCUGGUUUCCUCCUUUGUUUUCGACGGUGUAAUGUUCGGCUUUCGAAGUUAUAUCACUGUGAUCUAAUAGCUUCUUUGCCAAGUAAAAUCAGAGUGUUGAAGGGAUCAUUAAACAGCUCGAAAAGGGUUGGAGAAAGAAGAAAAGAAAACGAUUCUUAUCUUGCGAAGGGAGCUAUCACUAUACAUACACUUUCAUGGAAGUUUAUGUCGGUUUUUUAUACAAGUUAGGGAGCCUUUUCGUUCCGCUAUCGAGUCGAUAGCAUAAAAUGUUUAUGAAAUCGAGAAGAAGCCUAAAAUGUUCAUGAAAUCGAGAAGAAGACAUCACCUUAUCCCUCCAACGGAUACAAUUAGGGGAAUCAUAUACCGGAACCAUAAGAGAAUUCAGGAUUUCAGCUCCGAAUCGUUGGAUACCAGUUGCAAUACUAGUUAUUAUUAGUUUCAUCAGUAUGUAUUAGUAUUCACUAAUUUUCGUUCAUCGUUAUGCGACUUAAUUAGCCCGUCAAUACCGAAACCGGCCUGAAGUUAACAUAGGGAUGCAUCCAAAACAUGGAAAAAUGCUCAACAUUUAUUCACCAAAUCUCUACCAUCUCAACAAAAAGCAAUCCCUAAUCACUCUAAAAUCAUUCCCCAAAUUAUUGGGAAGAUCUUUUCUGAUCUUCUGAUUAGACAGUCCAAUCACCAGAUACCAAAAAUGAGAGAAGGAAACAUGAAAAUUAGAGGGUGUCUGCUGCAAAAGCUAAUCAAACAUUUCAGCUCUCCAAAAUUUCAGGCUGCAGCAUGAGAAGAUUUUGUCUUCCCUUUCUUAUUAUCCAACGAUGCCAACCCUUUGCCUAGACCAACUGGAGCCUGCUGCUGCUGCUGUUCUUGUCCUUCUACCGGGGCUGCGCCGUUCGCCUCGGUUUUCUCACCAUCCACGACGGCAUCAGGUGCCGUCAUGAGAUUCAUGAGCUGCUGCAUAGGUGGCACGGCUUGGACCGGAACACCGUGUGGCCUGAUCAAGAGCCCUCUAGCGGCGGCCUUUUUCCUGAUUUCUGCGGCAGCACGGGCGGCCCUUUCGUCGACCCCUCUUCCUCGAGGAAGGGUAUCACCCACCAGUGCGGCAUUGAUCGAUUUGGUUACGGAUGGAUUGCCACCGCUCCCUGAUGCUCCAGCAGUUGCUGCUGCUUGGAAUGCUUGCAGGAGGUCUGGAUGAGCCUGAAACCACAAGAGACAACGAUAAUGAAGAUAUUAACUGAUAAAUUCUAAACUACUCACAAUUUUUGCAGAUGCCAAACAAUGUAUUUGGGCCAAAUUACAAGACGGCGACCAUGCCAUGACCAAAAAGCUCAGAACUUUUUCCACUGGAAACACAAUUGGACAGAGGAAAAGGUUAAGCAGAAUCACCUUCAAGAUGUCCAUUGCCUUCUGGGCAGAAACUGCAUUCAAUGCCUGGCCUUUCUGCUUCUGAGCAUUCAUCUGCCAAAGAAAAGAUUGUGUUAAACCUCAGCAUAAUAGAGCUAGAAAGAAUUACACACAGUUCUUCAUAAUUAGCAUGCAUUAACCAACCUGAAGCUCCCGCGUCCUGAAGGUCUUCAUCCAAUUUAGAGAAUCGCGUGUUCUAGAGUCGUCCUCGCCAAGCUGUUUGACGAGAAUAUCAUACGUGUUCUUCUCAUGCUGUUAAAACAACAAACGGUGUGUUAUUCAUGAAAAAUGAUACAUUGGAUGUUCAUGUUCCUUAGUAUUUCAAGAAUCCAUACCUGAUGUGAUAGCUUGAAGGCGCCUAUACAAUUGAAGGCGAUAGCCAAAGCGUGGUAGCAUACAGCGGUCUGAAUAUGCUCUUGGCCUAACAACCUCUCGUUCUUCUUCAAGGCCUCUUGCAGAUACCGAAGAGCUGUGUUCAUCUUCCCGAUGUCCUGGAACAUCAUAGCAACGUUUAUAAAUGUCGCUGCAACAUCAGGAUGAUCAGGGCCGGACGACAAACUCAAUAAGAGCAAUGCCCGAGACAUGUGCCUCAGUGCGAGUUCUGUUUGGUUAAGGCCAUGGUAAAAGAGAGCCAUGUUCCCGUAGCUGCAGUCAGAAACAAAAUGAACAACCAAGUAAACAUUAAGGCAUGGCCAUUUGAGAAUAUAACGUGAGAAGAAAAUAAAAAUGCCUGUGAGCAGUGUCAGGGUGAUCUAGGCCGAGGCAACGUUCGUUUAUAAUCAACUCCUUGUGCUGCUGAAUUAUUGCUCCAGCCAUAUCUCCAGCAUGGUACAGAACCAUAGCAAGGUACCUGAGAAACAAGAGGUGGAAGCUCAAAUCAAAUUUAGGACAGAGAUAUUAACAAACAACAAUCAGCAUUGGUAGAAGUAAGCUGUUACAGUAACUGAUCAAAGUUACUAGAUUUUAUCAACAUUAGAAACAGAUAGGAUAGAAGCUAGGCCGUGAUUUAUUACCGGCAGCAGUUGGCAACCUCGCGAUGCAUUGGCCCGGUAACCUAGAGCACGUAACAAACAAAUUAAAUGGAGAAUGAAUACUUCUACGAACGAAAAAAGUAACAAGUUAAGAGAAAAAACCUGUUGAAGAAUGGAGAAAGCCUCGGAGAAUAAUGUAUAGGCUUCACUUAGCAUGCCCUAGAAGAAGAACCAUUAUGGUAUAAGAACAUCAAUUACCAAUCCAAGACUUCCAAAAUAUGGUAUCAUUAGGGAUCUCCAAAUGAGUCCAAGUCAUGGAAGAUCAACACCAGAGACUCAGAGAUCUUGCAUACCUCUGCUAAUUGCGCCUUCCCGGUCUCUACAAGCUCUUUUGCUUCAGAGCAAACUGGAACUGAAUGCUUCACCACGGGUCUUAGAUCCAAAAUAUCUGAUGUUUGGAACAGUGUAGCAGCAUUGAAGUCAUACUUCCGAGCUGCCAUAGUGAUACCCACCUGUUAUGGAUGAGGUCGAAACCGUAAGUUCUAGUUUAAUCACAUCAAAGACAUAUGGAUGUGUAGAGCAAACCAGUGUCAGCGUAGAAGCUAACAA
rnacentral:lncRNA from 1 species